UACGGAGGGGGCAAGCGUUGUUCGGAAUUACUGGGCGUAAAGGGCGCGCAGGCGGCUGCUCAAGUCAGGCGUGAAAGGCCUGGGCUCAACCCGGGAAUUGCGCUUGAGACUGGGCUGGCUUGAGUGCGGGAGAGGAUGGUGGAAUUCCCAGUGUAGAGGUGAAAUUCGUAGAUAUUGGGAAGAACACCGGUGGCGAAGGCGGCCAUCUGGACCGCAACUGACGCUGAGGCGCGAAAGCUAGGGGAGCGAACGGG
rnacentral:rRNA from 1 species